rnacentral:rRNA from 1 species
CACGUAGGGGGCGAGCGUUGUCCGGAUUUAUUGGGCGUAAAGAGCUCGUAGGUGGCUCGGUAAGUCGGGUGUGAAAUUUCGAGGCUCAACCUCGAGACGCCACCUGAUACUGCUGUGGCUAGAGUCCGGUAGGGGAGCGUGGAAUUCCUGGUGUAGCGGUGAAAUGCGCAGAUAUCAGGAGGAACACCAGCGGCGAAGGCGGCGCUCUGGGGCCGGUACUGACACUGAGGAGCGAAAGCGUGGGGAUCAAACAGG